rnacentral:rRNA from 1 species
CUACGGGCUGCUGCAGUGGGGAAUAUUGCACAAUGGGGGAAACCCUGAUGCAGCAACGCCGCGUGGAGGAUGACACAUUUCGGUGCCUAAACUCCUUUUAUAUAAGAAGAUAAUGACGGUAUUAUAUGAAUAAGCACCGGCUAACUCCGUGCCAGCAGCCGCGGUAAUACGGAGGGUGCAAGCGUUACUCGGAAUCACUGGGCGUAAAGAGCGUGUAGGCGGGUUGAUAAGUUUGAAGUGAAAUCCUAUGGCUCAACCAUAGAACUGCUUUGAAAACUGUUAACCUAGAGUAUGGGAGAGGUAGAUGGAAUUUCUGGUGUAGGGGUAAAAUCCGUAGAGAUCAGAAGGAAUACCGAUUGCGAAGGCGAUCUACUGGAACAUUACUGACGCUGAGACGCGAAAGCGUGGGGAGCAAACAGGAUUAGAUACCCCAGUAGUC